rfam:Camelus ferus unplaced genomic scaffold scaffold1286, whole genome shotgun sequence.
GAGGAUAUAGCUAAAGUGGUAGAGCGCAUGCUUAACAUGCACGAGGUCCUGGAUUCAAUCCCCAGUGCCUCCU